AGAGUUUGAUCCUGGCUCAGAAUGAACGCUAGCGGCGGGCCUAACACAUGCAAGUCGAGCGGGGCGCAAGCCCAGCGGCGAACGGGUGAGUAACGCGUAGGUAAUGUACCUCCUGGUGGGGAACAACCGUGGGAAACCAUGGCUAAUUCCGCAUGACGCCGAAAGGUGAAAGCAGCAAUGCGCCGGGAGAGCCGCCUGCGUCCCAUUAUUUAUUCCUAGUUGGCGAGGUAACGGCUCACCAAGGGUACGAUGGGUAGCUGGUCUGAGAGGAUGAUCAGCCACACUGGAACUGAGACACGGUCCAGACUCCUACGGGA
rnacentral:rRNA from 1 species